rnacentral:rRNA from 1 species
GUGUCAGCAGCCGCGGUAAUACGUAGGGUGCGAGCGUUGUCCGGAAUUAUUGGGCGUAAAGAGCUUGUAGGCGGUUUGUCGCGUCUGCCGUGAAAAUUCAGCGCUUAACGCUGGACGUGCGGUGGGUACGGGCAGGCUAGAGUGUGGUAGGGGAGACUGGAAUUCCUGGUGUAGCGGUGAAAUGCGCAGAUAUCAGGAGGAACACCGAUGGCGAAGGCAGGUCUCUGGGCCAUAACUGACGCUGAGAAGCGAAAGCAUGGGGAGCGAACAGGAUUAGAAACCCCAGUAGUCC